UAGAAACCAAAAUGGAAACGUGGAGCA
rnacentral:piRNA from 1 species